AACGGCAGCGCGGGGCAACCUGGCGGCGAGUGGCGAACGGGUGAGUAAUAUAUCGGAACGUACCCUGGAGUGGGGGAUAACGUAGCGAAAGUUACGCUAAUACCGCAUACGAUCUAAGGAUGAAAGUGGGGGACCUGCAAGGGCCUCAUGCUCCUGGAGCGGCCGAUAUCUGAUUAGCUAGUUGGUGGGGUAAAGGCCUACCAAGGCAUCGAUCAGUAGCUAGUCUGAGAGGACGACCAGCCUCACUGGAACUGAGACACGGUCCAGACUCCUACGGGAGGCAGCAGUGGGGAAUUUUGGACAAUGGGCGUAAGCCUGAUCCAGCAAUGCCGCGUGAGUGAAGAAGGCCUUCGGGUUGUAAAGCUCUUUUGUCAGGGAAGAAACGGUGGACCCUAAUACGGUUUGCUAAUGACGGUACCUGAAGAAUAAGCACCGGCUAACUACGUGCCAGCAGCCGCGGUAAUACGUAGGGUGCAAGCGUUAAUCGGAAUUACUGGGCGUAAAGCGUGCGCAGGCGGUUUUGUAAGUCUGUCGUGAAAUCCCCGGGCUCAACCUGGGAAUUGCGAUGGAGACUGCAAGGCUAGAAUCUGGCAGAGGGGGGUAGAAUUCCACGUGUAGCAGUGAAAUGCGUAGAGAUGUGGAGGAACACCGAUGGCGAAGGCAGCCCCCUGGGUCAAGAUUGACGCUCAUGCACGAAA
rnacentral:rRNA from 1 species